rnacentral:lncRNA from 1 species
GAAAAGGGGUUUUUGAAGCUUGAAACUUUCAGCCAUUAAGUUCUCUUAUAAGUAAGUGAUUUUGAUGACUUUUCUUGAUAAUUUUUGUACUUUUGAGACCCUUGUAGCUUAAUUUAGCUAAUGGAGGGGCUAUUUUGCAAAUGGUUGAAAGUUUAGGGUUUUUUCCAUGAAAGCUUUUGUGUUGUUUACUAAAAUAUUAUGGAAGAAAAUGAGUUAUAGUUGUUAAAUAAACAAAUUUUGUGAAGUAAUUUUCAUGAAAACCCUAACUAAAGAUCAUUUUGUAUAAGUUAUAAAUUAUGUGGUAAAUAUAUGAAAUAAUUGGAAUUGUGGGCUACUUCUAGUAUACAAAGAAUUCGGCUAGGCUUGGUUAGUGAGAAAAUUUGAUGAAAAUCGAUUUACGAGUCUAAGGGUAAAAUCGUAAUUUUGUGAAAGUCUAGGGGCAAAAUGGUUAUUUUUCCAAAAUAUGAAUUAUGAAAUGUAUUGAUUUAUGUGAUGAUUAAAUUAGUGAAUUUUAUUAUUUUAGAUCAAGAAAUACAAAAUCCGAACCUAGACCGGGAGAAUACCAAGCUAGUAGACUAAUUCAAUCUAGUCGCCCACUUUUUGUAUACCGAGGUAAGUUGUACGUAAAUAUUACAAUUCUAUUGUUAUUAUGCAUUAAAUUAUUGAUAUUGCAUGAAAUGUUUGAUUUUGUUACGAAUAUGCAUGACGAAAUUUGAUGUGGUGAAACUCCCGGUUGAACCGUAGGAAUAGAUCAGAUAUCCAUGCAGUGAUACUAGGGUUAUGUGAGCCA